rnacentral:lncRNA from 1 species
GUCAACUUUAGCCGACGAAAUUUUUUAAAAGUUUAGCCGACGAAAAAUAUAAUUUCGUCGGCUAAAGUGCCUUAUAUUUGCAGAUCUGGACAACAACUCAUCUGAGAAAAAAAAAACUAUACGUAGAACCUUCAAACGCAAAAAAGUCGUGAAAUAAGAUAUGACCAGAAUGGUGAAAUACGUCUACAGUUGAAAAAUCACAGUAUUCUGGUAAAGUCUCGGUGCCGAUAGUUGCGGUCAAUGCAAUUUACCCUUAUAUUCACUAUGCUACAGAUUUGGUUUUUGGUGUCUGAUUGACUAUUGUGAUACCUUUCCAGAAGCGUAACGGCCCUACGAGUCAAACUCAUCGCUAAGGCCAUGAUGUAUGGGCCUUUUUGGCCAUCCGAGUCCGUUUAGGGCUUCAAAAUGCAGUUUUCUUAUUUCCGAUUAGAGUUGACCGUUUGGAUCGAGCCCUUAACGUUAUCGAAUCCAGUUGAAUUUUUUACCAUAGACAUCUUUCGUCAUAAUGAUCAUAUCGGACGGUCGAAUUUUGGUUUGUAAAUUUUAGUCAUCGGAAUCACGUGUCUACUAUUUACCGUUAUUAUUCCCUAUGGGGAGCCCUAUCGUCGGAAGGUAAAUGUCUCAAAAUUUUUAUAUGGGCAGUUGCGUCUCAUCUACGUGAGAGUUUUUUGUGUGGAAGGUUUGACCAAACCACGUAAUAUAGAGGGAGAUAUGAGCGUUUUCGUGUGAUAAGUGACGAUGGAUUAGGGUUACCCGUUUCGAUCGAGUCCUUAACAUUGUCGGAUCCAAUUGAAUUUUUUACCAUAGACAUCUUUCGUCAUAAUGAUCAUAUCUGACGGUCGAAUUUUGGUUUGUGAAUUUUAGUCAUCGGAAUCACAACGUGUCUACUAAUGUUGUAUAACUUGUUUAGUAGAUUAUACAACUUUGUAAACCAACUCUAUAUAGGAAGCAAAAUUAUCAAAAUACUCGUGAAAUAAGAUGUGUUCAUAAUAGUGAAAUACGGUUAUGGUUCAAAAAUCACGUAAAUCGGGUAAAGUCUCGGUGCCGAUAGUAGCGGUCAACCCUAUUUACCGUUAUUAUUCCCUAUGGGGAGUCCUAUCGUCGGAAGGCAAAUGUCUCAAAAAUUUUAUAUAGGCGGUUGCGUCUCAUCUACGUGAAAGUUUUUCGUGUGGAAGGUUUGACCAAACUACGUAAAAUAGGGGGAGAUAUGAGCGUUUUCGUGAAUUUAUAGACUUUAGCCGACGAGAUAUUAAAAAAGUCGUCGGCUAAGGUCAAAAAUUUUUGGGCGGUAAACCAAAUUUGGAGACCGCUAAGGUCAAAAAUUUUUGGGCGGUAAACCAAAUUUUUGGGCGAUAUUAAAAAAGUCGUCGGCUAAGGUCAAGAAUUUCAUCGGCUAAAGUUCUUUAUAUUACCGAAGGUGGAUGGUAAGAAGUUUAUUUCGCCUGCCAGAUUUUCUUCCCGGCCUAGCUCCGCCGUCAAGCCACCGGAGACCGCCACACUUGUCCCAAAAGCUUCGCCGUCGUCUCUACUUCAUUGCUGGAUAGAUGGUGCAUCGAGUGGCGCCGCCGUGAGAGAUAAAUCGAGCUCCAAAACUCCGCCGGUUCGGAUUCGGUGUCGAUCGAAUUUCUCCUUCCUCAGGUCACCAUUUGGUGAGUUCUAUAUAUGGAUAAGUUGAGUUUGAUUAGUACUACAUUCCCCUAGAAUUUGGUAGCUCCAUUCGGUGUGUGUGAGGAGAAUCGAAGAUUUGAAGUUUUUAGGGUUUAAAAUUGGGGAUUUUUAUAUUUUGAUUUAAUUGACCUAUUUAGGCUUAGAAUUGGGCUUCGACUUCUUCUAGAAAGUUGUUCGAAAUGUUGAGAAGAAGAUUCUACCAAAUUUUGGUGGUGAUUGGAGGUGGCCGAAAGUUUCUGCAGCUUUUUUUUUUCAAAAACCAGCAACUUUAGCCGACGAUAUUUAAAGGUUUAGCCGACGAUAUUUAAAGGUUUAUUCGUCGGCUAUAGUAUUUUUAAAUUUUUUUAUAAGGUUUAGCCGACGAAUUAUGGCAUAUUUCGUCGGCUAUAGUUAUUUUUUAAAUUUUUUUAUAAGGUUUAGCCGACGAAUUAUGGCAUAUUUCGUCGGUUAUAGUUAUUUUUUAAAAUUUUUUAUAAGGUUUAGCCGACGAAACUGACUAUAUUUCGUCGGCUAUAGUCUGGGAAAAAUUUUUUUAUUACAGACUUUAGCCGACGAAUAUCUUAAUUGUUUCGUCGGCUAAAGUCUGGGAAAAAAACCGACGACAUGUUUUUCGUCGGCUAAACUGCGGGAUUAUAGCCGACGAAAUUUUUUUUUCGUCGGCUAAAGUCAUCACAGACGACCUUUUCCUGACGAAAUCUUAGCCGACGAAUUAUGCUAACAGGCCGAC